rnacentral:rRNA from 1 species
UACGUAGGGGGCAAGCGUUGUCCGGAAUCAUUGGGCGUAAAGAGCGCGUAGGCGGUCCGGUAAGUCAGCUGUGAAAGUCAAGGGCUCAACCCUUGAAUGCCGGUUGAUACUGUCGGGCUAGAGUCCGGAAGAGGCGAGUGGAAUUCCCGGUGUAGCGGUGAAAUGCGCAGAUAUCGGGAGGAACACCAAUGGCGAAGGCAGCUCGCUGGGACGGUACUGACGCUGAGGCGCGAAAGCGUGGGGAGCAAACAGG